UUUAUGGAGAGUUUGAUCCUGGCUCAGGAUGAACGCUGGCGGCGUGCCUAAUACAUGCAAGUCGAGCGAACAGACGAGGAGCUUGCUCCUCUGACGUUAGCGGCGGACGGGUGAGUAACACGUGGAUAACCUACCUAUAAGACUGGGAUAACUUCGGGAAACCGGAGCUAAUACCGGAUAAUAUAUUGAACCGCAUGGUUCAAUAGUGAAAGACGGUUUUGCUGUCACUUAUAGAUGGAUCCGCGCCGCAUUAGCUAGUUGGUAAGGUAACGGCUUACCAAGGCAACGAUGCGUACGAAAGCCUGACGGAGCAACGCCGCGUGAGUGAUGAAGGUCUUCGGAUCGUAAAACUCUGUUAUUAGGGAAGAAUAAAUGUGUAAGUAACUAUGCACGUCUUGACGGUACCUAAUCAGAAAGCCACGGCUAACUACGUGCCAGCAGCCGCGGUAAUACGUAGGUGGCAAGCGUUAUCCGGAAUUAUUGGGCGUAAAGCGCGCGUAGGCGGUUUUUUAAGUCUGAUGUGAAAGCCCACGGCUCAACCGUGGAGGGUCAUUGGAAACUGGAAAACUUGAGUGCAGAAGAGGAAAGUGGAAUUCCAUGUGUAGCGGUGAAAUGCGCAGAGAUAUGGAGGAACACCAGUGGCGAAGGCGACUUUCUGGUCUGUAACUGACGCUGAUGUGCGAAAGCGUGGGGAUCAAACAGGAUUAGAUACCCUGGUAGUCCACGCCGUAAACGAUGAGUGCUAAGUGUUAGGGGGUUUCCGCCCCUUAGUGCUGCAGCUAACGCAUUAAGCACUCCGCCUGGGGAGUACGACCGCAAGGUUGAAACUCAAAGGAAUUGACGGGGACCCGCACAAGCGGUGGAGCAUGUGGUUUAAUUCGAAGCAACGCGAAGAACCUUACCAAAUCUUGACAUCCUCUGACCCCUCUAGAGAUAGAGUUUUCCCCUUCGGGGGACAGAGUGACAGGUGGUGCAUGGUUGUCGUCAGCUCGUGUCGUGAGAUGUUGGGUUAAGUCCCGCAACGAGCGCAACCCUUAAGCUUAGUUGCCAUCAUUAAGUUGGGCACUCUAAGUUGACUGCCGGUGACAAACCGGAGGAAGGUGGGGAUGACGUCAAAUCAUCAUGCCCCUUAUGAUUUGGGCUACACACGUGCUACAAUGGACAAUACAAAGGGCAGCGAAACCGCGAGGUCAAGCAAAUCCCAUAAAGUUGUUCUCAGUUCGGAUUGUAGUCUGCAACUCGACUAUAUGAAGCUGGAAUCGCUAGUAAUCGUAGAUCAGCAUGCUACGGUGAAUACGUUCCCGGGUCUUGUACACACCGCCCGUCACACCACGAGAGUUUGUAACACCCGAAGCCGGUGGAGUAACCAUUUGGAGCUAGCCGUCGAAGGUGGGACAAAUGAUUGGGGUGAAGUCGUAACAAGGUAGCCGUAUCGGAAGGUGCGGCUGGAUCACCUCCUUU
rnacentral:rRNA from 1 species